AAGGCUGAGCUGUGAUGGGGAAGCUCCUUAUGGAGCGAAGUCUUUGAUUCCCCGCUGCCAAGAAAAGCUUCUAGCGAGAUAAAAGGUGCCUGUACCGCAAACCGACACAGGUAGGCGAGGAGAGAAUCCUAAGGUGUGCGAGAGAACUCUGGUUAAGGAACUCGGCAAAAUGACCCCGUAACUUCGGGAGAAGGGGUGCUUUCUUAACGGAAAGCCGCAGUGAAUAGGCCCAAGCGACUGUUUAGCAAAAACACAGCUCUCUGCGAAGCCGUAAGGCGAAGUAUAGGGGGUGACACCUGCCCGGUGCUGGAAGGUUAAGGAGAGGGGUUAGCGUAAGCGAAGCUCUGAACUGAAGCCCCAGUAAACGGCGGCCGUAACUAUAACGGUCCUAAGGUAGCGAAAUUCCUUGUCGGGUAAGUUCCGACCCGCACGAAAGGUGUAACGAUUUGGGCACUGUCUCAACCAGAGACUCGGUGAAAUUAUAGUACCUGUGAAGAUGCAGGUUACCCGCGACAGGACGGAAAGACCCCGUGGAGCUUUACUGUAGCCUGAUAUUGAAUUUUGGUACAGUUUGUACAGGAUAGGCGGGAGCCAUUGAAACCGGAGCGCUAGCUUCGGUGGAGGCGCUGGUGGGAUACCGCCCUGACUGUAUUGAAAUUCUAACCUACGGGUCUUAUCGACCCGGGAGACAGUGUCAGGUGGGCAGUUUGACUGGGGCGGUCGCCUCCUAAAGUGUAACGGAGGCGCCCAAAGGUUCCCUCAGAAUGGUUGGAAAUCAUUCGUAGAGUGCAAAGGCAUAAGGGAGCUUGACUGCGAGACCUACAAGUCGAGCAGGGACGAAAGUCGGGCUUAGUGAUCCGGUGGUUCCGCAUGGAAGGGCCAUCGCUCAACGGAUAAAAGCUACCCCGGGGAUAACAGGCUUAUCUCCCCCAAGAGUCCACAUCGACGGGGAGGUUUGGCACCUCGAUGUCGGCUCAUCGCAUCCUGGGGCUGUAGUCGGUCCCAAGGGUUGGGCUGUUCGCCCAUUAAAGCGGUACGCGAGCUGGGUUCAGAACGUCGUGAGACAGUUCGGUCCCUAUCCGUCGUGGGCGUAGGAAAUUUGAGAGGAGCUGUCCUUAGUACGAGAGGACCGGGAUGGACGCACCGCUGGUGUACCAGUUGUUCUGCCAAGGGCAUAGCUGGGUAGCUAUGUGCGGAAGGGAUAAGUGCUGAAAGCAUCUAAGCAUGAAGCCCCCCUCAAGAUGAGAUUUCCCAUAGCGUAAGCUAGUAAGAUCCCUGAAAGAUGAUCAGGUUGAUAGGUUCGAGGUGGAAGCAUGGUGACAUGUGGAGCUGACGAAUACUAAUAGAUCGAGGACUUAACCAU
rnacentral:rRNA from 9 species